rnacentral:rRNA from 1 species
CCUAUCCUACGGGGCGCAGCAGUGAGGGAUAUUGGUCAAUGGGGGAAACCCUGAACCAGCAACGCCGCGUGAGGGAAGACGGUUUUCGGAUUGUAAACCUCUGUCCUCUGUGAAGAAAAUGACGGUACCUGACUAAGAAGCCCCGGCUAACUACGUGCCAGCAGCCGCGGUAAUACGUAGGGGGCAAGCGUUAUCCGGAUUUACUGGGUGUAAAGGGAGCGUAGACGGAGGAGCAAGUCUGAUGUGAAAAUCCGGGGCCCAACCCCGGAACUGCAUUGGAAACUGUUUAUCUAGAGUGUCGGAGA